rnacentral:rRNA from 1 species
GUGGGGAAUAUUGGACAAUGGGCGAAAGCCUGAUCCAGCCAUGCCGCGUGUGUGAAGAAGGUCUUCGGAUUGUAAAGCACUUUAAGUUGGGAGGAAGGGCAGUAAGUUAAUACCUUGCUGUUUUGACGUUACCGACAGAAUAAGCACCGGCUAACUUCGUGCCAGCAGCCGCGGUAAUACGAAGGGUGCAAGCGUUAAUCGGAAUUACUGGGCGUAAAGCGCGCGUAGGCGGUUUUGUAAGUUGGAGGUGAAAUCACCGGGCUCAAUCUGGGAACUGCCUCCAAAACUGCAUGACUAGAGUACGGUAGAGGGUAGUGGAAUUUCCUGUGUAGCGGUGAAAUGCGUAGAUAUAGGAAGGAACACCAGUGGCGAAGGCGACUACCUGGACUGAUACUGACACUGAGGUGCGAAAGCGUGGGGAGCAAACAGGAUUAGAUACCCUAGUAGUCC